CUCCUCCACACGGCUCUACUUCCGCCUCGCCUCGCCUCGCCCCACCCCAAGCUCAGGCAGGCCUCGGCUCCUGUCGGUCCCCUUUGGAAAGGGGUCCAUUGUGGAAACGAUCAGCUCUUUGCAGACCCAACAGGGAGAAGCCUACUUUACUAUUCCAGCAGGAGGAAAGAUUUUCUCAUUGUGUGACAACAGCCCAGCCAAUGAGAGACUGCCAUAACUCAGUCAGUGAGAAGUCACCACACUUUGAACCCCAGGUUUACUCCAAUGGACUUUCUGUUUAUAAUGGGCCCUUCAAACUCCCCCCUUUCCUAUGUAAAAGAUCGCUCCUCUUCUUUGGUUUUGCAACAGCUCACAUGUCUCAAGUUGCAAUUUUCUACUGUUCCUGAUUAAACCCAUUUUUGCUGGUAAAA